GAUCGUCCAUUUCAAUAUCAGAGCCAUGGGA
rnacentral:piRNA from 1 species